rnacentral:rRNA from 1 species
GACGAACGCUGGCGGCGUGCCUAAUACAUGCAAGUCGAGCGGAACCUUUGGAGCUUGCUCCAUUGGUUUAGCGGCGGACGGGUGAGUAACACGUGGGCAACCUGCCCUGCAGAUCGGGAUAACUCCGGGAAACCGGUGCUAAUACCGAAUAGUUUGCGGCCUCUCCUGAGGCUGCACGGAAAGACGGUUUCGGCUGUCACUGCAGGAUGGGCCCGCGGCGCAUUAGCUAGUUGGUGGGGUAAUGGCCCACCAAGGCGACGAUGCGUAGCCGACCUGAGAGGUGAUCGGCCACACUGGGACUGAGACACGGCCCAGACACCUACGGGUGGCAG